AUCUCUUUCUGGAGAUUGUUUCUGUUGGAGGUUUUCUAUGAGCUGAGGACAUGGGUCCUCUGUACCCUGAGACUCAUUCCUACUAAGAGUCUGAGAGUCACAAUGAGAACUUCUGAACACUAGAAGAAGUAUAUUUCAGGAAAACAUGGAACUUAGUUAUUGGAAGAGCAUUCUUUUUCUAGAAAGGAUUGGUUACUUGGAUACACAGUGGAUGUUUCCCUUUCAGUUUCUGCUUUUCAUUCUGUGAUCCUUUGGUGUUUCAUACCUGAUGCUUCUGGCUUCAGAAACAAAGCAAAUGAGCAACCUUCUGUUCUCCCAUUGAGCUUUAGGCCUUCUAGGCACUACAUGAACUGAGGAUGUCGCAGUACAAACUUUGAAGAUGGUCUCUGGCAUUCAAGAAAAUUCAGAUAAAUUUGCCAGCAUAACGUAGCUCUUAAUUUUUUUAAAAAGUCUUUACAGUAGCACAAGUGCUAUCAUCUUUUAAUUGUCAUUAUAGAAACAAUUAUAGGGGAAAUAAUAUGGAACUAUGUGUUUAUGGAGUUUGUUUAUACAGUAUUGAUUUUUGAAUUAAGGUGAAUGUUUCUGUCUACAUAACAAAUAUCUGAAACAUUAUUUUGUAUUUUAAGAAGCUGUAGAUAGUGUUAGGAAUAUGAGAUUUAUUACCCUACCUUGCUGUUAAUGUUUGUAACACACAAGAGAAAACAGUUUGGUUUUUUUAGGUUAUUCACUGUACAUACGUAUCAUUCACAAUAGUUUGUGUUAUAGAUGUAGAACUUCAAUUCUAACCUUCAAUUUUAUAAUUAAACAGUAAAAUUAUUUUUAAAAGUGCAUUUACAAUAACUUCUACGCAGAGCUUCUGCUCCAGUAGAUUAAAGAUGCUGCAACUACUAGUUCCUCUGAGAAUAUCUACAAUGCAGUAUUUACAUUGCGAGGAGAAACUGUUUAGCAUCUGAAUCUCUAUUGUGCUAUGUGUACACAUGUAGCCAUAGCACAAUCAUGAUUUAAAAUAUUCCAUUUAAACUGUAUCAUUUGUGACUACAUUUCAGACCAAUGCGUUAGUCUCCUUUUUAACAAAUCUCAUUAUUUAAUACUUCUGAAUAUAUGAGAAUGUCAUGGAUUAAUAAAAAUGUCUACUCUGC
ensembl:lncRNA